AGGAUUUCAUUCUACGUGUCCAUCAUCCUCAUUUGAUCUGGCCACUGGACAGACACCGUCUCUCCUCUUUUCCAACAUUUGUUCAAUUCCACCGUGCUCAUAUUCCAUGGAUGAUAUUUGUUUGCUCUUACAUUGAACUGAUUCUGUACAUGCAUGUUCUCAUUAAAUAUAUUGUUUUUGUCAAUUUCGUAGCAGGUAAUAGUGUAGGAACUCAAUCCGAAUAGAGAGGGGCUCUGUGAACAAAAUUCCAACAUAAAUAAUGCACUUAUGUUUUGUGAAAUCUUUUGGUUACCUAUCAACUUACUUAUGUCGGACAUUGUAAGAGAAGUGCACAAAUGAAGAAACAAAGACAAACCAAAGGAUACGUUUGGUGCAACAAUUAUUACUCAUUAAGUCAAUAAUGCCUUAUAAUACACUAGGGAAAACUUUAGCUUUCUCCUUGGAGUGUCCACUGGAUGGUGCAACGUAUCUUCCACUAUAGAAUUUUGAUCAAUUGGUUAAAGUGUCUCAUAUUACAACCAUCGACUAUGCAAGAUGUGCCGUGUUGAGUUGUGUACAAUCUUGCGACGAGCGAAGGAAGAUGUUGUUCCAGAUUCUAUUUCUUUUGGUUUUGGCAAAUCCUUAAAUUUCCUUUGUUCUCGAAAUGAGAUAAUUCAUCCAUCAACAAGAGGAUAUUACCACCCCGCUUUUCUACAAGGUCUACUUUCAGAUGAGGGCAAGAAUUUAUGUUGCUUAAACAAGUUUGGGAUAAGGUUGUUGAUCUCCUGCCACCUCUUGGAAAGGUCACCUGAUGUGCAAGUCCAUUUAUAUUGAAUUAGUGUCCAGCAAUGAUUGCUCAACUACUGCUAAUGGCAAAUAUUGCAUCUGGAUAUAUGUUCAUGGGGACUAAGACUCCUUAUAUAUUUACCUCAUAAGCUGAUGGAUUGUCCUGUUAGGUGUGGAAUUGGCCAAACAAGUCAAUUCUUUUGUUCACAUAGUCGUGAUGUAAGCGCUUACCUCAUGAUAGUCGUGAUGUAAGCGCUUACCUCAUCAUAGGAAAUUCAUUCCUAUAAAUAGGUAGCUUAUGGUUCAUUUGUAAACACACCAAAUUGAAGAAGACAACACAUCCCAAAGAGAGAAAAAAAAAAUCUAAGAGAAAUACUCUUAGUGAAAGGCCUAAGUAAGAGAAGGUCUUUGAGAGAAUUUUAUGUGGUAAAAUUCUUGAGUGUAAUUGGGAUUGGGGUUGUGAGGUUGAGUGUUGUAAACACUUGUAAUAUUUCUUCUUUAAUAAGAUCUGCAGCAGCAACGUGGACGUAGCUCUCACAUUGAGGGUGAACCACUAUAAAUUUGUGUGUGCUAUUUAUUCUUCGCUUACAUCACGGCGUAAGU